rnacentral:rRNA from 1 species
AUAUUAUUAAGCGGAGGAAAAGAAACUAACCAGGAUUCCCCUAGUAACGGCGAGUGAAGCGGGAAGAGCUCAUAAUGAAGAUCGACUUGCCAAGCGGCAUUUCGAGUUGUAGUCUGGAGAAGCGCUGUCAGCAGUGACCCGGGUAUGAAUCUUUUGGAACAAGGUAUCAUAGAGGGUGAGAAUCCCGUCUGUGACUCGGAGAUCGCUGCGUACGACACGCUUUCGCAGAGUCGCGUUGCUUGGGAGUGCAGCGCAAAAUGGGUGGUAAAUUUCAUCUAAAGCUAAAUAUCAGCGAGAGACCGAUAGCGCACAAGUA